UGCGGUGGNCGUGUUGUUUUCUCCGGGCCUCCGGUGGCGGUNGCGGCUCGCUUGGUCUUUUCUGUCGCUGAGGAUGGAGAGCUAGGUGAGCGUACGGGAUUAGAUACUCCGGUAGUCCUAGCCGUAAACGAUGAGCAUUAGUCUGUGGGGACCCUCACAUCCUCUCGGUCGUAGCGAAAGUGUUAAGUGCUCCACCUGGGGAGUAUGGUCGCAAGGCUGAAACUCAAAGGUAUUGACGGGGGCUCACACAAGCGCUGGAGGAUGUGGCUUAAUUUGAGGCUACGCGAAGAGCCUUAUCCUAGUCUUGUCAUGCUUAGGAACCUGACCGAAAGGUUGGGGUGCCCUUCGGGGAGCCUUUGCACAGGUGCUGCAUGGCUGUCGUCAGCUCGUGUCGUGAGAUGUCGGGUUAAGUCCCUUAACGAGCGAAACCCUUGUCCCUAGUUGCCAGCGAGUCAUGUCGGGGACUCUAGGGAGACUGCCGGUGUUAAACCGGAGGAAGGUGGGGAUGACGUCAAGUCCUCAUGGCCUUUAUGAUUAGGGCUGCACACGUCCUACAAUGCAACGUAUAAAGGGAAGCAAACCCGCGAGGGGGAGCAAAUCUCAAAAAGCGUUGCUCAGUUCGGAUUGCAGGCUGCAACUCGCCUGCAUGAAGCUGGAAUCGCUAGUAAUCGCGGGUCAGCAUGCCCCGGUGACUGUGUUCUUGAGCUUUGUCCACCCCGCCCGUCAAGCCACGAAAGUCGGGAGGGCCAGAAGUCAUUGAGCUAACCGCAAGGGAGCAGGUGCCGAAGGUCAAUUCGACAAUUGGGACUAAGUCGUAACAAGGUAACCG
rnacentral:rRNA from 1 species